CUUAACACAUGCAAGUUAAAUGUUCUAAAAGCACAGCGAACAGGUGAGUAACACGUGGAUUAUCUACCUUUAAUCCAGGAUAAUAAUUUUGUAAAAAUACCGAGUAAAUUAAAUUAUAAUUUGAAACGUUAAAAAGAUGAGUUUAUGCUAGAUUAUGGUAGUUGGUAGUUUGAUAGACUAAGCCGAAUAUCUUUAGCUAAUGAUCAGCCACAUUGGGACUGAGACACGGCCCAAAACAGCUUUUAUUCACAGCGUUGAG
rnacentral:ncRNA from 1 species